rnacentral:lncRNA from 10 species
AAACUUUAAAAUCAUUAUGUUAGAAAAGAUACAGAAAAACUCCCAAGGAAUUUUGGGACAAACACAAAAUGAUCAAUGAAUCCAAGAGCUGGUUCUUUAAAAGAAAACACACAUACAUAGGCUGUGACACCACUAUUACUUAUUUCUGCUGCCAUUAACGCUUCCCUGCAUGUUACAGGUAGCAACGUGUACUCAGUAUGUUUGGUGUCUCACAAGCAUCCAGUUGAACACUGGAGCCA